UACGAAGGGGGCUAGCGUUGCUCGGAAUCACUGGGCGUAAAGGGUGCGUAGGCGGGUCUUUAAGUCAGGGGGUGAAAUCCUGGAGCUCAACUCCAGAACUGCCUUUGAUACUGAAGAUCUUGAGUUCGGGAGAGGUGAGUGGAACUGCGAGUGUAGAGGUGAAAUUCGUAGAUAUCGCAAGAACACCAGUGGCGAAGGCGGCUCACUGGCCCGAUACUGACGCUGAGGCACGAAAGCGUGGGGAGCAAACAGG
rnacentral:rRNA from 1 species